UGGGCAACCUGCCCUGUACUGGGGAAUAAUCAUUGGAAACGAUGACUAAUACCGCAUGUGGUCCUCGGAAGGCAUCUUCUGAGGAAGAAAGGAUUUAUUCGGUACAGGAUGGGCCCGCAUCUGAUUAGCUAGUUGGUGAGAUAACAGCCCACCAAGGCGACGAUCAGUAGCCGACCUGAGAGGGUGAUCGGCCACAUUGGGACUGAGAUACGGCCCAG
rnacentral:rRNA from 1 species